rnacentral:lncRNA from 1 species
GAAAAAACCCAAAGGGAAAUUGGGCACACACAGGAACAUUCCGUUUUCCAGUAGUGUUACACAAUGCUUGGUGCCACUACUAGGCCUAAAAAACUAACAUAAUCUUUAUUCAAUAUGUCUUACCUUAUAUAUAUAAUCUUUCAAUCUAUAUAUGUAUUAAUAGAAUCUAUAGUAGUCUUAAAUAAUAAGAUCAAAAUGAAGAUAUAAAUUGUGGAUUAUUUCUUUCUUUUUCAUACUGGAAGUCAUCAAUUCAAGACUGAUUAUCCCUAAACCUUAUCUAAGCUAUUUUGACUUACUCCCCC